rnacentral:rRNA from 1 species
AGAGUUUGAUCAUGGCUCAGGACGAACGCUGGCGGCGUGCCUAACACAUGCAAGUCGUGCGGUCUCGCCUUAAGCGAAAGGCCUUCGGGCUUUGAAGCGAAAGGCGAGAUAGCGGCGGACGGGUGAGUAACGCGUGGCUUAUCUGUCCCAGGGAGGGGGAUAACGUCUGGAAACGGGCGCUAAUACCCCAUAUGCCUAAAAGGUGAAAAGGAGAGAUCCGCCCUGGGGUGAGGCCGCGUCCUAUCAGCUCGUUGGUGAGGUAACGGCCCACCAAGGCUAUGACGGGUAGCCGGCCUGAGAGGGCGGCUGGCCACACUGGGAUUGAGAUACGGCCCAGACUCCUACGGGAGGCAGCAGUGGGGAAUAUUGGGCAAUGGGGGAAACCCUGACCCAGCGACGCCGCGUGGAGGAAGGAGCCCUUCGGGGUGUAAACUCCUGUUGUAAGGGAAGAAGAUCUGACGGUACCUUACGAGGAAGCCCCGGCAAACUACGUGCCAGCAGCCGCGGUAACACGUAGGGGGCGAGCGUUGUCCGGAAUUACUGGGCGUAAAGCGCACGCAGGCGGAUGCGCGCGUCGGCUGUGAAAUGCACCGGCUCAACCGGUGCACUGCGGUCGAUACGGCGCAUCUGGAGUGCGGGAGAGGGAAGCGGAAUUCCCGGUGUAGCGGUGAAAUGCGUAGAUAUCGGGAGGAACGCCGGUGGCGAAGGCGGCUUCCUGGCCCGCAACUGACGCUCAUGUGCGAAAGCCAGGGGAGCGAACCGGAUUAGAUACCCGGGUAGUCCUGGCCGUAAACGAUGGACGCUAGGUGUGGGCGGUUUAUCCGUCUGUGCCGAAGUUAACGCGUUAAGCGUCCCGCCUGGGGAGUACGAUCGCAAGGUUGAAACUCAAAGGAAUUGACGG